ACUCCAUAAACUGAGCCGAUCUCCCCUUUGUUGGAUCCUUCAGGAGCUAUAGCAGGUAAGUGCCAAGAAAACGGUGGAGAGAAUACAGGUUUGGCUGUUUGCUCAGUUGUUUGAUCACCUUUAUUUAUGUGGAGGUGGCGGAAACUAGAGAGCUGGCUAAGAGCAAGUAUGAUCAACAGGACCAGAAAUGCGAGUCUUGGACUUG
rnacentral:misc_RNA from 1 species